CCUACGGGAGGCAGCAGUGAGGAAUAUUGGUCAAUGGACGAGAGUCUGAACCAGCCAAGUAGCGUGAAGGAUGACUGCCCUAUGGGUUGUAAACUUCUUUUAUAUGGGAAUAAAAUGUUCCACGUGUGGGCUUUUGUAUGUACCAUAUGAAUAAGGAUCGGCUAACUCCGUGCCAGCAGCCGCGGUAAUACGGAGGAUCCGAGCGUUAUCCGGAUUUAUUGGGUUUAAAGGGAGCGUAGGUGGAUUGUUAAGUCAGUUGUGAAAGUUUGCGGCUCAACCGUAAAAUUGCAGUUGAAACUGGCAGUCUUGAGUACAGUAGAGGUGGGCGGAAUUCGUGGUGUAGCGGUGAAAUGCUUAGAUAUCACGAAGAACUCCGAGUGCGAAGGCAGCUCACUGGACUGCAACUGACACUGAGGCUCGAAAGUGUGGGUAUCAAACAGGAUUAGAUACCCUAGUAGUC
rnacentral:rRNA from 1 species